rnacentral:lncRNA from 1 species
AUAUAUAUGUAGAUACACGUAUAUACGCGCGCGCCCGUGUGUGUUUUGGAGAAAUGAAACAAAGUUCAGACAGUCGCAAUAAGUUUGUUCUUUGAAAGCAGCCUGAAUAAAAAGACACACACACAUAUCUCGUGUUUAUUAUUUGAAUAUGCCAAUAUUGGCGACUUUGCAUAAUAUUUCGCAGAAAACGUGACACUAAGUUGGCUAAACCACUUCCUGGCUUUGUAUAAAUACGGUUAGCUUGGCAAUUUACACUUAUUGCAAUGGGUCUCCUCCUCCAUGUCAUUGUUCUCUGCCUUCUAGGUGAGUCUGCAAGACAUUUAUGUGCAAAGCUUUGGCUUUAAAUUGUUUAACGUUCAGUUCUUGCAGUUGUGACAUUGGAGUAUAACUAUGAUAAACAUACCUAAAGUGUAUAUAGACAGUGAAGUGUCCGUCCUUAUAUUUUCGUUAUAUAUGGUGACAGUGUAAUUUCAUACAGAUGCCAGUUAGUUAUAUUAGUUCAGCUAUCGUACCGUUCUACUCAUCCCCGCCCACUGUCACCUAUAUUUUUCAUCACCCAUCAGCAUUAGUUGCAAGAUAGUGGAUGUGUUAUAUUUUAUACUGCAUAUCAAUCUGAUUAGACAAGUUCGGUGUCGUAUAUAAUCACGUUAGUCUCUUCCUGCAUGCAAAGAAACAUACAAAAAUAGGUCACCUGCAACUCACCUCAACCAAGAAUCAAAGAGCAAUAAUCUUUGGACGUUAAUCUUCCAAGUUUUGUUCAUUAGUUGCUAGUUUUGUGUCGCAAAGAAUGACCCUCAGAGCCAUAACUAUUAGAACUGAUAUAUUUAAAUAUAUGUUUGGAAAUUUAUUGAAAAUAAAGUCCGCCAUUACAGAUUUGUUUGUCUUCCGCAGUCUCCGAUUAUCAUCAUCAUUGCUAGGUACCGAAGUCUUCAAGCAGGCAUUCGUUUAUUGCGUCACCAAGUGUUUUAAGCAACUUCCAUUCCAGAAAGAUUUAUUUCAAAUACCUUAAACUGGUUUUUAGUGAAAAAAGUCGGUAUUCGGAAGGGAAGCAAACUGAAGCACACGAUACACAACACGGCUAUGUAUGCACACAGCAAAUAAUCUGAUUUAAUUAACAUUUGGCAGGUGUGAUGGCAGCUGUUGCUAUGCCUCUUGAGGGGAUGGGCGAUGACUGUGAGAACGACGACCCGCUCAGCGCUGAAGUCAUCGGGAGUCGUCAGAAGCGGUGUUUAGAAGAACUUAUCAGCAGGGGUUCCAAUAUUCUGCGAAAAGGAUUGGAUUUUAUGCAGGCACUAACGAACCCUUAGGAGUGAGUUCUCAGAUGAUCGGCCACUUAGCAGGCAUGCAACGGAAGCUAAAGGGCGUGGGAUUUUCCACCUAAUUAGCUUGCAACGAUUACUAUUAUUGCGAAUUAAAAGAUAUUAAGUUUA